GGCUUGCUGAAGUCAAUUCUGCCUGUAGAAAAAUCAGUGGGGCUACACAAAUGCACACUAAGUGCUCUGUAAGCACUGCAAAUGCCACUAUAACGUCUCCCCGGAGCCUUCAUGUGUCCAAGUGCCAUAAGCUGGGGAGCACAAGACCAGCUGCUGAAUGGAUCCAUCUCAUAUACAGGAUAUACACUCCCAGUGAAGGACUCACUCCACCAGGAAGGGGAAAAGGUUUUUGAUGAAGCUGAGAUGGCACCAUUGCGUGUUUCCAGGAUUAGAAAUGUUAAUGUUUCCUUCACCACAUUUGGGUGCUGCUUUCGACAGAGUAUGGCAUAGCAGACACAGACCUGCUGUGUUGCAGAUUUUGCCAGGCUCAGUAACAGUCAUCAUAUGCUGCUUUAAAUCUUCCUGCCUUUUUUAUAUUAUUUUACUUUAUUUUUCCUCUUCUGCAGCAUAAUCGCUGCAGAUGUAUAAAACUCUGUGUUAUUUGUAAAGUGAAACCUAUACUGUAAUGAUAGUGUUUUGCUUCUGAUAAAAAGCAUUCUUCUUUGGACAUGUUGCAAACAAGAGAUUAGCUGUUCUCCUUUCCUAUUCUCUGCAUACUAAUUCCACUAAAACUGCUAUGUUAUGCAAGC
ensembl:lncRNA